rnacentral:lncRNA from 10 species
GGCACUGUGCCUAAGGCAUUACCUAUAUUAAGUGAUUUAAUCCUCCCAACAACCCUAUGAGGUAAGAACUGUUAUUAUAUCCAUUUCAUAGAUGAAGAAACUGAGGCUGGCAAGGUGGGGCAAUGCACCAAAGGACAAACAGCAAGGAUUUGGUGGAGUGGGUUUCAACCCAGCCCUCCAGAACCUGUGCGCCAAACCACAGUUCUAUCCUGGACGGCUGGAUGGGGGACGGACAGACUGACGGAUGGGACUGAUGAUUGACAGCUCUGUCCCACCUGCACCAGGCCUGAGGCUGGGCACCCAGUAGGAGCUUAGCCAGCAUCGGCCACAAGAACACUGGGCAUUCUCACGCAGUGCCUGCCGGAGGGGCCUCAUGUCCCCAGCAGGGCCGGAGCUUGGGGGCGGUGGGCAGUGUGCCUGGGCUGCUGGGGGGGCCCAACUCCCUCCCGAGCAGAGCCACGGCGGCAUGACGGAUGUGCCCGCCACCGCGGGGAGCCCAGGGUAUAGCAGUUGCCUGGAAACAGGCUGCUCUCGCGGCCCACACUCAGACCUUUGUCACCAUCUCAAGGACCUUUUUUUCCCUCUUCCUCCUUUCACGAUGGAGCCAGACCCUGCACGCAGCAGACACGGACUGAGGACUUCAUGUAUUCCAGAUUCUCCCCACAGCAACUGGAAGAAGUAGCUGACGUUGCUCUCCCCAUUUUACAGAUGUGAGAAUGGAAGAAGUUAAGAUGGAUCCAAGCCAGUUGAUGAGGAAACUGAGGCUCAGAGAGGGGAAGUAACUUACCCAAGACUGCACAGCAGUAAGCGGCAGAACCUGGACCCAGCCCCUGGCUCCAGACCCCCACUGCUCUGCUGACCUGCAGGGGCCUCGAAUCAACAUAAAGCCUUUCACCCCUAGCCUGCUCCUGUCUCAACCUCAACCUCCAGAGAACAUCCAUCCUCCAUGGAGCCUCCCAGCCUGAGCCCUCUGAGCUGCCUCCCUUCUUCUCUCCCCUCAGCCCAGGCUUCCCUAUCACCCCACAGAGAGCCUCGGAGCCACCCUUGGGAGCUUCACAGCUGCCUGGCUUUGGGAUCUUUGCUCUGAGAGACCCCAAGAUGGAGCAGCAGCCCCUAUGCUGUGGCCCACCGGGCAGGCUUGGUUUUAUGCCAUCUUCCCAGCUACCCCUUGGGGUACGGGUUUUAUCACCCCCUUAUACAGAAGGGGUCAGGGAUCAAAGCAGGCAAGCCAUUUGCCCAGAACCACACAGCUGUUGCCAGAGUUGGGAUCCAAAUGCAGGACUGUCCUUGGCCAUACCGCCUUCUGGAUGUCCCUACAGUGGCUCUGCCCAGUCAAGAGCCCCUGUUGCCCGGGGAGACCCCUCUUCACAUCCUCAUGACAAUGACAAUCCCACGAGUUAAACAUUUCACAUGGAUUCUUGCCUUUAGUUUUUCCCAACAACCUGCAGGGGAGGGGCAAUCAUCACACCCAUUUUACAGACGAAGAAACUGAGGCACCCAGUGGUUGCUUAGCUGGGGGCCCAGCAGAGCCUGUGCCUUGGUUUGCUAACCUGUAGAAUGGGGUCAUAACACAGCCUUGCAGGGUGCUUGAGGACUGUGCAAGGCUGUGGAAGCCAGGGGCUCUCGGAAACACCCCUGAGGGCUGUCCUCAGACAAGGCCGGAGGCCCGAUUGUGUUUUUCUCGACUCGCCAGCAUCCAGUCAGGGCCUGGCCUGCUGAAGGAAGGGCCCCAUGUCUCCUUGAACAUUUCCUCAGCCCGGGGAUGCCGAGAAAACGAUGAGUCAUCCACCCAAGCAGAGGCCUCCCAGGAGCUUGUGUCGGGUCCCAGCCGGGAGGGGAGGGCUCCAAGCUGGAGAGGGGGCCCGGGUAACACGAUGACUCCCGCGCUGGCCCCGAGGCCUAAGUCACGGGGUCCCCUCCACGGCCUCCCACCGCCACAGGCUGCCAGCCUACCGGACACCCUUGGAUGCUGUGCCCCAGAUCCUGCCCCUGCGCCUUCACCCCAGAUCUGCACCCCGGUUUCCUAAACCACUCUUCCCACCCACGAAUCCCAGGGUUGCCUGCGACCCUCUAGCCUCCCUCACCCCACUCCCACCUCACCUAGCCCCAGCCACUCAACCGCUGGUCCGUCGAGGAAACCCGUCACGCCUUUCUCCCCUCACCUCACUAUGCCUCUGCCUGGUUUUCCUUCUCCAUCGCCCUCUUGCCUCUCACCACAGAAUCUGAGCGUUCCUUCUAAAACCCCAACGUGACCUUAGCUCCCUCCACGUGAGAACCCUCCUGUGAGCUCCCUGCUGUGCCUGAUGCGAUGGGCUCUUCAGAUCUCUCUCCUCCAUCUGGCCCCAACCAAUCUUGCCAGCUCACCCCUUCAGGACCCCACUGUGGUUCUCAAGCUGACUUGGCCAUUUACUCAUCUCCACUCCAUCUAGAAUGUUCUUCCAAACAUGCUUCUCUAAGAAAAUUGGCCCUGGGAUCCGUCGUACAACGCCCACGCUGACCCCGCC